rnacentral:rRNA from 1 species
CUACAGGCUUAACACAUGCAAGUCGAGGGGCAGCAUGGUCUUAGCUUGCUAAGGCCGAUGGCGACCGGCGCACGGGUGAGUAACACGUAUCCAACCUGCCGUCUACUCUUGGACAGCCUUCUGAAAGGAAGAUUAAUACAAGAUGGCAUCAUGAGUCCGCAUGUUCACAUGAUUAAAGGUAUUCCGGUAGACGAUGGGGAUGCGUUCCAUUAGAUAGUAGGCGGGGUAACGGCCCACCUAGUCUUCGAUGGAUAGGGGUUCUGAGAGGAAGGUCCCCCACAUUGGAACUGAGACACGGUCCAAACUCCUACGGGAGGCAGCAGUGAGGAAUAUUGGUCAAUGGGCGAGAGCCUGAACCAGCCAAGUAGCGUGAAGGAUGACUGCCCUAUGGGUUGUAAACUUCUUUUAUAAAGGAAUAAAGUCGGGUAUGGAUACCCGUUUGCAUGUACUUUAUGAAUAAGGAUCGGCUAACUCCGUGCCAGCAGCCGCGGUAAUACGGAGGAUCCGAGUGUUAUCCGGAUUUAUUGGGUUUAAAGGGAGCGUAGAUGGAUGUUUAAGUCAGUUGUGAAAGUUUGCGGCUCAACCGUAAAAUUGCAGUUGAUACUGGAUAUCUUGAGUGCAGUUGAGGCAGGCGGAAUUCGUGGUGUAGCGGUGAAAUGCUUAGAUAUCACGAAGAACUCCGAUUGCGAAGGCAGCCUGCUAAGCUGCAACUGACAUUGAGGCUCGAAAGUGUGGGUAUCAAACAGGAUUAGAUACCCUGGUAGUCCACACGGUAAACGAUGAAUACUCGCUGUUUGCGAUAUACAGCAAGCGGCCAAGCGAAAGCGUUAAGUAUUCCACCUGGGGAGUACGCCGGCAACGGUGAAACUCAAAGGAAUUGACGGGGGCCCGCACAAGCGGAGGAACAUGUGGUUUAAUUCGAUGAUACGCGAGGAACCUUACCCGGGCUUAAAUUGCAGAUGAAUUACGGUGAAAGCCGUAAGCCGCAAGGCAUCUGUGAAGGUGCUGCAUGGUUGUCGUCAGCUCGUGCCGUGAGGUGUCGGCUUAAGUGCCAUAACGAGCGCAACCCUUGUUGUCAGUUACUAACAGGUUCCGCUGAGGACUCUGACAAGACUGCCAUCGUAAGAUGUGAGGAAGGUGGGGAUGACGUCAAAUCAGCACGGCCCUUACGUCCGGGGCUACACACGUGUUACAAUGGGGGGUACAGAGGGCCGCAACCACGCGAGUGGAUGCCAAUCUCCAAAACCUCUCUCAGUUCGGACUGGAGUCUGCAACCCGACUCCACGAAGCUGGAUUCGCUAGUAAUCGCGCAUCAGCCACGGCGCGGUGAAUACGUUCCCGGGCCUUGUACACACCGCCCGUCAAGCCAUGGGAGCCGGGGGUACCUGAAGUGCGUAACCGCGAGGAGCGCCCUAGGGUAAAACUGGUGACUGGGGCC